UAAGUUACAGAGUGUUUUUGGUUUCAAUUUCAGGGGUUUUAUAUUUGUCAUUGUUGAUAUGCGAAGAGUAGGUCUCGGUUCUUUGUUGUUGGUUCUUUCCAAAGUACUACAUUUUUGUAGAUUGACUUUGGUAAAUGAAAAAGAUAGUGUUAUCAUUCCUUAUGAAGGGAUUUUUUCUUGUCAAGUAUUGUAAGUUCAUAAUCUGAUUGUAAUAUAUUAUUUUUUACCUGCCUUAA
rnacentral:lncRNA from 1 species